GGGAGAGAGAGAGAGAGAGAGAGAGAGAGAGGGGGAGAGGGAGAGAGAGAGAGGGAGAGAGGGGAGAGGGAGAGGGAGAGAGAGGGAGAGAGAGAGGGAGAGGGAGAGAGAGAGAGAGGGAGAGGGAGAGAGAGAGAGAGAGAGAGAGAGAGAGAGAAAAGGUUCUGUCAGAGGGGUUGCAAAACCAACCAACAACAUUUUAUUGAAGUCUCUUUAAACCUUUCUAUUUAUAUCAAACUCUACUUGAGUGACAUCCUUCUAUAUUUAAACAUUGUACUAAUAACAUGCUGUCAGACAUGGUGGGAAAAAGUCCAUUGUAGCCAUUUACUAAUGUUGUAUUUAUUGUAUUACUGAGUAAGAAAAAAACAUUUAUAAAUGAUGAAUAUAAGUAUAUCUAUUUGUGAUCUGCAACCCUUGGAAUUAAAUUAGCUUUUCAUUUUUCAUUUUAUCAAUAUUUGAUUUCAUGACGCAGGACUUAAUGCACUGUCGAACAUAUGGAGAGAUUUAUACUAUAAUUGUGUGGCAUUAUUUCUGUUUGUCUAUUUACUGUUCUUCCUUUGGUUCAGCUAUUGAAUGUAACUUCAAAAACUCUUGGACUUUUUAUGUAAAUGUUGUUCUUUUUUAAAAACAAACCAACUGUACUCUGUAACAAUAUGUAUGUUGUACAUUACACAAUGAUAAUAUAGCAAACGAUUCUUCUACCAUAAUGCUGGACUUCGGUCACGUAAAGGCCAAUGUGACUGCAGAAGGUAUUAUGUGGAACACACCAGUGCCCUGCAGACAGACUCACUCCAGAUAAGUGUAAUCAUUACUGGAUCAGUCAGAACGCUUCUCACCAAGGCUUUUAACAUUUGAUGAGAACAAGAACACCAGGAGUGGAGAAUCGCAGAGCCGCAUACUGUCCUGUGUGCCAGAUAAAAUAUGUUUUUCAAAUAUAGUUUUCUUUCUUUCUUCUUCUCUCUUCUGAGGUGAAAGAGAGAGAGGGAACGAGGGAUUAGCGCUGCAGAGGGGGUGGUGGGGGGGAGGGGCUGACUGUAAUGACACAGUCAGUCCCAAAAUGACAGCGCUUAGAUAAAACUUGAGGAUUCAGUUUUGAGGACAGGGAACGAGGGGAACGAGGGGACACCCUAUCCCUCUCCUCUCUGAGCGGAGGACAGGAUGGUACUGGAAAACACUGAGCUCUCUUUCCUUUCUGAGUUCACCACUGCCUCUGCUGCAGAUCAAGCUUCCCUAUACCACAAUGAGCUGCUUUCUCUGACAGGCUGGCCUAAGGACGUUUCCCUGGACUCAGAUGCGACUGUAUCUGAUAGGCAGGCUUAAGGACAUUUCCCUGGACUCAGGUGUGACUGUAUCUGAUGGGCUGGCCUAAGGACGUUUCCCUGGACUCAGAUGUGACUGUAUCUGAGAGGCUAGCCUAAGGACGUUUCCCUGGACUCAGAUGUGACUGUAUCUGAGAGGCUAGCCUAAGGACGUUUCCCUGGACUCAGAUGUGACUGUAUCUGGUGGGCUGGUCGAAGGACAUUUCCCUGGACUCAGGUGUGACUGUAUCUGACAGGCUAGCCUAUGGACGUUUCCUACAGUUGAAUGGAUGCAAGGUUCCAGAGAAAUAAAUCUAUUUUGCUGCAUUAUUUGUCUCUGAGACGACAGAACGGGAAUCGUAACAAGUGGACAGGGGGACAGCUGUAUGUUGACAGGUCGGGAGGCAGGUAGCCUAGCGUUUAAGAGCAAAGGGCCAGUAAUCAAAAGGUCACUGGUUCAAAUCCCAGAGUCAACUACACGAAAAGGCAAUGCGCCCUUGAGCAAGGCACUUAACUGUAAUUGCUCUCAAUAAGUGUGUCUGAUAAGAACAUAUUAGCUGUAUGUGGCACAAAUGAUGAGACCUGAACCAAAAAAAGUGUGUGCGUGGUAACACAUAUGUGUUCUAGAGGAAAAUCCCCUGUCAACCUCUCACCACUCUAUCAGUUGUUGCAACGCUCAAGGGACUCUUGCUGUCAAGUCUGCACUGGCACUGAGAGAGACUGGGACCUGAUGUAAUAAAAAAGACAAGCAAACAAAUAAAAAAAAAUAACUACGAUGUCAAUCUAACAGAGAUCUGGGAGCCGCGACCUCUGGGGUGUCACAGAGACAAAUAUUCUGGUUCUGUUGUUCUUUGGUCUGUUUGAGACUUUCCGUUCUCAUGUCGACCUGUUGUCCAUCCCUGAUGAUAGAGAUGUGUCAUAAAAGCAGUGUUAAAACUACUCCUGCACACAAGUUUGCUUCUGCACCCUUGUAAAUAUGUAGGUCUAUCGGAACUUACACAUACAAAUAAACAAGCAUAAGUGAAUGUUAUUGCAGGGAGUAUUUUUUUGUCUUUGAGCAUAGAAUAUUGGUAAGAAUUUGUUUUAUUCCCAGCACCACAGGAAUAGGUGGUGGUGGUGUGUGUGUGUGUGUGUGGUGUGUGUGUGUGUGUGUGUGUGUGUGUGUGUGUGUGUGUGUGUGUGUGUGUGUGUGUGUGUGUGUGUGUGUGUGUGUGUGUGUGUGUGUGUGUGUGUGUGUGUGUGUGUGUGUGUGUGUGUGUGUGUGUGUGUGUGUGUGUGUGUGUGUGUGUGUGUGUGUGUGUGUGUGUGUUAAUGUUUGCUCUGAAAGGGAUGAAAAGGAUUUUAUUUAAGUGUGUGGAUAUGCCAAACAGGUGUGAAGCAGACUUCACUAUAGCUCUGUUACAGUCUAAGGCUAAUAACUGUACUGUGCCCCCCACCCCCUACUCCUAAACUCACCUAUACCCCUUUGCCCUCUAACCCAAAGCCCAGGUCCACCACUUAUCUCAAUAAUAUACGGCUUCCCGAAAAUCCACACGCUUCCUUACAAAACCCUGAUUUGUUUGUAACCUAAACCCUGUCUCAUCUAAAAUCAGACCCUGACCCUGUCUCAUUUGAACCCAGACCCUGUCUCAUCUAAAACCAGAAACCUCAGUCCUAACCAAACCCAGUUCAGACCCAGUUUAUCCUAUAGUAUUUGAUACAACUCUCAACCCUCUAAGCCAAACCCACAGACCCCCCUUAUAACUUAUCCAUCACCAUCCAAGUUCCCUACGCCCUCUGCAGUCCCCCAAAGCACAAAGGUUGGAGUGGUGUAGAAGUAAGCCCUGUGAAAGAGAAACCCUUCCAUUCUGUUCGUGUCUGUCUAUCUAUCUGUUUACGGCUUAUAAACUUUGUGCUUUUGUAUUCCGAAUGUACAGAGCCCCCCCCCCUUCUCUGUCUAUAUCAGAACGUUGUAUAACUGUAUAUUCAAAACAAGGACUCUUCAUGUGCAAACAAAUCUAUUUCUUUCUUCUUCUUUUUGGUAAUUGUUCCAAGGUCAUGUAGUUUAAAAGAUGAGUAGGUAAAUGAACAACAUAAAUAAAGAGAUAUAUUGAACAGUAUAAAGAGACCACAUUUUCAGCUGUACUCUGUACUCAUCUGUACUCUAUCUUCUUGUUUUGUCCUACUUUCUGUAUGCUUCCAAUGUGCUUCAGAGAUACAGUACUAUUAUGAUAUUGUUAAAUUAUUAUCACAAUUAUUAUUGCAGUUAUUAUCAUGAUUACUACAGUUAUUAAUAAAUAUUUAUUUCCUCGACGAGA
ensembl:lncRNA